AGAGUUUGAUCCUGGCUCAGAACGAACGCUGGCGGCAGGCUUAACACAUGCAAGUCGAGCGCCUCGCAAGGGGAGCGGCAGACGGGUGAGUAACGCGUGGGGAUGUGCCUGGUGGUACGGAACAACUCAGGGAAACUUGAGCUAAUGCCGUAUAAGCCCUUCGGGGGAAAGAUUUAUCGCCACCAGAUCAACCCGCGUUGGAUUAGCUAGUUGGUGAGGUAACGGCUCACCAAGGCGACGAUCCAUAGCUGGUCUGAGAGGAUGAUCAGCCACACUGGGACUGAGACACGGCCCAGACUCCUACGGGAGGCAGCAGUGGGGAAUAUUGGACAAUGGGCGCAAGCCUGAUCCAGCCAUGCCGCGUGAGUGAUGAAGGCCUUAGGGUUGUAAAGCUCUUUCACUGGGGAAGAUAAUGACGGUACCCAGAGAAGAAGCCCCGGCUAACUUCGUG
rnacentral:rRNA from 1 species